UUCAGCUAGCAAAAACGAAGUCAUCUUCUUCCUUAAGUUUCACCAUGUUAAGAAUUUCAAAUGGCCAUAACUCACUCAAUUUUGGUCCGAUUGAUGCGAUUCUUGCGGCCACGGAAAGAGGAAGACGACCUCUACUGAUUGAGACCAGAAAUUUAAGGUUAUUAUAAGCUUGAAUGGAGUAGUUUGAUGGUGACUUUGAGGACUUGAGCCUUUAGCCAUGAAGUGUCCCCAAGAUAAGACUCGACGAAGCGACUAUCGACAAGGCUCGAGGGGAACGGAUCGAGAUGUUUUCGUGUUUAUUUGAAGAAUUUGGAUAGCAAGUGGGAUGGUAUGAUAUGAUUUGAAGAGUUAAGCUUCCAAAGUUUUAAUUCUCGGAAGUCAUUUGCACAAGAAGUAAAAGAAGGUUUUCAUUCUAGCGGUCCGCAGUAGUCUAGAUGUUUUUGUCUAUGUAUUUAUCUAGCGGAUUUUAACUCUGAUAUUUUUAUAAAAUGGGGUCACGUGAUUUUUUUAUAAAUGAAAAAUGAUUUGAUUUGCGAAAAAUUUACACAGGAUUUUAGGCUUGCUACGGGUUUCGGAGCUACCACUCCCAUUCCCUAGCGCCGGUCGCGG